rnacentral:lncRNA from 1 species
UAGAAUUAAAGAGGAAAAACUUCAGCCUGGUUUUUAAUGGCCAACACAAGAUAGAUCCCAAUCAUGUUUCAAAUGGCUUCAGGAUCAUCUCCUUCAUAUGUUCUUACCUCCAGGCAAACCGAUAUAAGAGGAAACUGAGGCAGAACAAGAUUAAGAGGUUUGCUUAUAAUCACCAGGAUGGAGAAGGGGCUUGGGUCAUAUGAAGAUCAGAUGGAGAAGCUGGGAAUAUUUUGCUUGGAGAAGUCUGAGAAGAGACAUGAUACGUUCAAAUAUCUGUAAAGGAAGAAUUGGCCUCAGUAAGGGAACCUAGAGCCCUCACUCCAUUCUGAACCUUGAGCCCCCUUCCAAUGAGCAUGAGAUGGGCCAUUGUAGCACUUCUCUCUCCAGCUGUACACUGGACAUGGCUACUCACACUCUUUGGAUGGGCAACACCAUCACUAUGAGGUGAAGGACCACCAGACCUUACCAUUUGUCAGACGUCUACUCUCCUGAGAGCCCUAGGCAUGGUCACCUAUCUGCCACUGAAUUCUAAGGACUGCUAGGUCUUUCCUUUAUGCAUUGUUUCUCAAAAAUAAAAUAAAAUAAACUCCUCA